ensembl:snoRNA
GAUGUGGUUAAUGAUGUACACUUUUUUCCCCGUCUUAUCGACUUUGGUGAAAAAAAAGUUAAACUUUUGCCAGUUAUGUCUGAAACCACAUG